GUUAAGUGCCUUGCUCAAAGGCCCAACUGUAAUUGCCAACCCUGGCAGUCGUGCUGGCAAUAUUGUAAUGGUAAAUAUGGCAUCCCAGCCCGCUCAGCCACAGAUAAGUGGCGUGCAGCCUCGCCUCGGUGGCGCCCGAAUUGGCUGCCGCUCUCACGAUUGUCACACCCGUCAAAUGUCAUUAAUCAGAGAGGAGGUUUUUAAUGUGUGUUUCUGAUUGUUGUGUUGUCUUUUCCUUUUGGGUCCCUCACGUUGGACCUGUGACUCACUGGCGAGGCGUGACCCACAUCGGACCAGAAACAACAAGCCACCUCAGGGAAGUGCCUCAGGCAGACCAGACACCGUUCCGGAUUCCUGAGCCUGUUCGACGUCAGUCUCUGAAGCCAACGGAAGGCUGUGUCCUCUUCAAUCAGAGGCUUUGCCGACGCCAGGACAUUAGAUAUGGUGAUAUGUGGCUGGCAGCUAACACCACAGGCCCAGACCGGACCCCAGGGAAGUCCGUUUGGUCACGUGAUUGGCUUGCAGGAUCAUCAGUUAGCUACUUAGAUUACAUGAACACCCUUUGGGAAAAUGAAAUGGCAAAUUCCUGAACUGAUAUUCUAAACUUAUCGACUCUUUGCAAUAUUUGCAUUAUGUUUGCAGUGUAUGACGUGUAUAUUAUGCUAUGUUUGCACAUUUACUGUCAUAAUUGUAAAAAUAUUUAUUGUCUUACUAUAAGCCCCUUAACUUGUAUUUGCGUUUUAUGUAUGUUUACUGGUCCCCAGAAGGACAUGCAGGGUAAGAUUUUCACAACAUGGUGUAAACUGACAAUAAACUCUGGUGUAAUCGCU